GAGUUUGAUCUUGGCUCAGGAUGAACGCUGGCGGCGUGCCUAAUACAUGCAAGUCGAGCGGACGGACGAGAAGCUUGCUUCUCUGAUGUUAGCGGCGGACGGGUGAGUAACACGUGGAUAACCUACCUAUAAGACUGGGAUAACUUCGGGAAACCGGAGCUAAUACCGGAUAAUAUUUUGAACCGCAUGGUUCAAAAGUGAAAGACGGUCUUGCUGUCACUUAUAGAUGGAUCCGCGCUGCAUUAGCUAGUUGGUAAGGUAACGGCUUACCAAGGCAACGAUGCAUAGCCGACCUGAGAGGGUGAUCGGCCACACUGGAACUGAGACACGGUCCAGACUCCUACGGGAGGCAGCAGUAGGGAAUCUUCCGCAAUGGGCGAAAGCCUGACGGAGCAACGCCGCGUGAGUGAUGAAGGUCUUCGGAUCGUAAAACUCUGUUAUUAGGGAAGACAUAUGUGUAAGUAACUGUGCACAUCUUGACGGUACCUAAUCAGAAAGCCACGGCUAACUACGU
rnacentral:rRNA from 1 species